rnacentral:rRNA from 1 species
GAGUUUGAUCGUGGCUCAGGAUGAACGCUGGCGGCGUGCCUAAUACAUGCAAGUCGAGCGAACAGACGAGGAGCUUGCUCCUCUGACGUUAGCGGCGGACGGGUGAGUAACACGUGGAUAACCUACCUAUAAGACUGGGAUAACUUCGGGAAACCGGAGCUAAUACCGGAUAAUAUAUUGAACCGCAUGGUUCAAUAGUGAAAGACGGUUUUGCUGUCACUUAUAGAUGGAUCCGCGCCGCAUUAGCUAGUUGGUAAGGUAACGGCUUACCAAGGCAACGAUGCGUAGCCGACCUGAGAGGGUGAUCGGCCACACUGGAACUGAGACACGGUCCAGACUCCUACGGGAGGCAGCAGUAGGGAAUCUUCCGCAAUGGGCGAAAGCCUGACGGAGCAACGCCGCGUGAGUGAUGAAGGUCUUCGGAUCGUAAAACUCUGUUAUUAGGGAAGAACAAUGUGUAAGUAACUAUGCACGUCUUGACGGUACCUAAUCAGAAAGCCACGGCUAACUACGUG